rnacentral:rRNA from 1 species
GAUGAACGCUGGCGGCGUGCCUAAUACAUGCAAGUCGAGCGAACAGACGAUGAUCUUGCUCCUCUGACGUUUGCGGCGGACGUGUGAGUAACACGUGGAUAACCUACCUAUAAUACUUGGAUAACUUCGGGAAUCCGGAUCUAAUACCGUAUAAUAUAUUGCACCGCAUUGUUCAAUAGUUACUUACGGUUUUUCUGUCUCUUAUAGAUGUAUCCUCUCCGCAUUAGCUAGUUGGUAAGGUAACGGCUUACCAAGGCAACGAUGCGUAGCCGACCUGAGAGGGUGAUCGGACACACUGGAAGUGAGACACGGACCAGAGGACUACGGGAGGCAGCAGUAGGGAAUAUUCCGCAAUGGGGGAAAGCAUGACGGAGCAACGCGGCGUGAGUGAUGAAGGUCUUCGGAUCGUAAAACUCUGUUAUGAGGGAAGAAAAAAUGUGUAAGUAAAUAUGCACGUAGUGACGGUACCGAAUCAGAAAGCCACGGCUAACUACGUG